rfam:TPA: Bos taurus chromosome 11, whole genome shotgun sequence.
UCCCUGGUGUCUCAGAUGGUAAAGAAUCCACCUGCAAUGUGGGAGACCUGGGUUCAAUCCCUGGCUUGGUAA